rnacentral:rRNA from 1 species
CGCGGCCUAUCAGCUUGUUGGUGAGGUAACGGCUCACCAAGGCGACGACGGGUAACCGGCCUGAGAGGGUGACCGGUCACACUGGGACUGAGACACGGCCCAGACUCCUACGGGAGGCAGCAGUGGGGAAUAUUGCACAAUGGGCGCAAGCCUGAUGCAGCAACGCCGCGUGAGGGAUGACGGCCUUCGGGUUGUAAACCUCUUUUAGCAGGGAAGAAGCGAAAGUGACGGUACCUGCAGAAAAAGCACCGGCUAACUACGUGCCAGCAGCCGCGGUAAUACGUAGGGUGCAAGCGUUGUCCGGAAUUAUUGGGCGUAAAGAGCUCGUAGGCGGUUUGUCGCGUCUGCUGUGAAAAUCCGAGGCUCAACCUCGGACCUGCAGUGGGUACGGGCAAACUAGAGUGCGGUAGGGGAGAUUGGAAUUCCUGGUGUAGCGGUGGAAUGCGCAGAUAUCAGGAGGAACACCAAUGGCGAAGGCAGAUCUCUGGGCCGUAACUGACGCUGAGGAGCGAAAGCGUGGGGAGCGAACAGGAUUAGAUACCCUGGUAGUCCACGCCGUAAACGGUGGGAACUAGAUGUGGGGUCCGUUCCACGGAUUCCGUGUCGCAGCUAACGCAUUAAGUUCCCCGCCUGGGGAGUACGG